rnacentral:rRNA from 1 species
GACGAACGCUGGCGGCGUGCUUAACACAUGCAAGUCGAACGCUGAAGCUUGGUGCUUGCACUGGGUGGAUGAGUGGCGAACGGGUGAGUAAUACGUGAGUAACCUGCCCUUGACUCUGGGAUAAGCCUGGGAAACUGGGUCUAAUACUGGAUACGACAUGUCACCGCAUGGUGGUGUGUGGAAAGGGUUUUACUGGUUUUGGAUGGGCUCACGGCCUAUCAGCUUGUUGGUGGGGUAAUGGCUCACCAAGGCGACGACGGGUAGCCGGCCUGAGAGGGUGACCGGCCACACUGGGACUGAGACACGGCCCAGACUCCUACGGGAGGCAGCAGUGGGGAAUAUUGCACAAUGGGCGGAAGCCUGAUGCAGCGACGCCGCGUGAGGGAUGACGGCCUUCGGGUUGUAAACCUCUUUCAGCACGGAAGAAGCGAAAGUGACGGUACGUGCAGAAGAGGCGCCGGCUAACUACGUG